rnacentral:rRNA from 1 species
CGCGUAGGUGGUUUGGUCAGUCAGAUGUGAAAGCCCCGGGCUCAACCUGGGAACUGCACCUGAUACUGCCAGACUAGAGUACAGUAGAGGGCAGUGGAAUUUCCGGUGUAGCGGUGAAAUGCGUAGAGAUCGGAAGGAACACCAGUGGCGAAGGCGACUGCCUGGACUGAUACUGACACUGAGGUGCGAAAGCGUGGGUAGCAAACA